rnacentral:rRNA from 1 species
UACAGAGGUCUCAAGCGUUGUUCGGAUUCAUUGGGCGUAAAGGGUGUGUAGGUGGCGCGCUAAGUCGGGGUGUGAAAUUUCGGAGCUUAACUCCGAAACUGCAUUCGAUACUGGCGUGCUUGAGGACUGGAGAGGAGACUGGAAUUCAUGGUGUAGCAGUGAAAUGCGUAGAGAUCAUGAGGAAGACCAGUGGCGAAGGCGGGUCUCUGGACAGUUCCUGACGCUGAGGCACGAAGGCCAGGGGAGCAAACGGGAU